GGUUGGUCCGAGUGCAGUGGGGUUUACAACUAAUUGAUAACAAGCAGUUACAGGUUCCCUUGUUCCUUCUCCACUCACACUGCUUCACUUGAUCAGCCUUUA
rnacentral:Y_RNA from 1 species